UACGGGGGGAGCGAGCGUUGUUCGGAAUCACUGGGCGUAAAGGGCGCGUAGGCGGCUGGGUAAGUCAGAGGUGAAAUGCCAGGGCUUAACCUUGGAAUUGCCUUUGAUACUGCCUGGCUAGAGGACGGAAGAGGAUAGUGGAAUUCCUGGUGUAGCGGUGAAAUGCGUAGAUAUCAGGAAGAACACCGGUGGCGAAGGCGGCUAUCUGGUCCGUUACUGACGCUGAGGCGCGAAAGCCAGGGGAGCAAACGGGAUUAGAUACCCCGGUAGUCCUGGCCGUAAACGAUGGGCACUGGGUGUAGGAGGUAUCGACCCCUCCUGUGCCGAAGCUAACGCAUUAAGUGCCCCGCCUGGGGAGUACGGUCGCAAGGCUGAA
rnacentral:rRNA from 1 species